GAUGAACGCUGGCGGCGUGCCUAAUACAUGCAAGUCGAGCGAACAGACGAGGAGCUUGCUCCUCUGACGUUAGCGGCGGACGGGUGAGUAACACGUGGAUAACCUACCUAUAAGACUGGGAUAACUUCGGGAAACCGGAGCUAAUACCGGAUAAUAUAUUGAACCGCAUGGUUCAAUAGUGAAAGACGGUUUUGCUGUCACUUAUAGAUGGAUCCGCGCCGCAUUAGCUAGUUGGUAAGGUAGCGGCUUACCAAGGCGACGAUGCGUAGCCGACCUGAGAGGGUGAUCGGCCACACUGGAACUGAGACACGGUCCAGACUCCUACGGGAGGCAGCAGUAGGGAAUCUUCCGCAAUGGGCGAAAGCCUGACGGAGCAACGCCGCGUGAGUGAUGAAGGUCUUCGGAUCGUAAAACUCUGUUAUUAGGGAAGAACAAAUGUGUAAGUAACUAUGCACGUCUUGACGGGACCUAAUCAGAAAGCCACGGCUAACUACGU
rnacentral:rRNA from 1 species